rnacentral:rRNA from 1 species
AACCUGUGAAACCCAGGCUAAUACCGCAUACGUCCUACGGGAGAAAGGGGGCUCCGGCUCCCGCUAUUGGAUGAGCCUAUGUCGGAUUAGCUAGUUGGUGAGGUAAUGGCUCACCAAGGCAACGAUCCGUAGCUGGUCUGAGAGGAUGGUCAGCCACAUCGGGACUGAGACACGGUCCGAACUCCUACGGGAGGUAGCAGUGGGGAAUAUUGGACAAU